UUUAACAUGUCUUUGGAAUUUUUCUUUUUUCUAGCAGGAAACGAUGUGUAUUUAUGCAAAGAAACAUUUUACUAGGAAACCCGCAUUGUUACAAAACAUCUUGUGCAAGUGGGCCCUGGGUGAUAGAGAGGAAGUGGAACCAUAUGGUUAGGAACAUAGCAGCUAAUCUGGAUACCAGGGAGAUUGCUUUCUUUAUUGUGUUGAUUUAUUAGGCAGUGUUGUACACUAUACACACAAAGGUGCAUUCAACAUAUUAAUUAAACUGAUCCAAACUACACUAAGACUCGCAAUGAUCUUCCCUGACGCAGGACAGAGAGAACACACACAACGGCAUGGUGUGAACACAGGGCUGUAGGCUUCAUUAUUAGCAGUAUCUUGAAUUGCAUCUUUUUUUUUAUUUCCCCAGUGUUUUUCAUUUUGCAUGCAAGUACCCCAAAUGAAAUACUGCAUGUGUGGACUGUUUCAAAGGCAACGGAAAGUGACUGAAUUGAAUUUUGGAAUCUGGCUUAUUUGGUUUGGCUGGAGUAUCAAACUCCUUUUCAACCCGUUAUAUGAAAAGAAGGCUGGGAUUUACAUGGUUUCAUGCUGAGCAGAGUGUUAACAAGGAAUAUUUAUGGGGGUGAUGGGAUUGCCGGCUGCAUGUUACACCUGACCCUGCUGUGCCUCGUUAUCAAUCAGCACGCAGACCCACAACAGGUGAUGUCUUCUAUCACCCCACUAGAGCUCAACGGCAACUCCUAGUGGCGAGGGAUGACUUUCACUGACUCUGCACGUCAGGACCAAGCAAUCUGAAAUCUGAAAAUGCUCCGAUGUUAACAGUAAUAAAUAAUAAUGAUUGAAUGGAUUAA